CCCAAAACUCAUGGGACUGUGGAAGGCAGGGCUUCAACAAUGCUCAUUAGUCUCUCCUCUCUUUCGCGCGAAGCCUCAUCUCUCCAUCUCUUUCGCGCGAAGCCUCGUUUCUCCACUCCCGAUCGCGCUUCAUCCUGCUUGAACUACUCUUCCAGCUGCUGAAGGAGUCUUCAAGGACUUGGUCAAGAAAAGGGGUCUGGAUUCCAAGUUCAAGAUUGACUCUGCUGGCACCAUUAAUUACCAUGAGUGUUAAAAAAAGGGAAAUCAAGCGGACCCAAGAAUGAAGGCAGCAGCUAAAAGGGAUUGAGAUAACAUCUUUGUCCAAGCCAAUCAAGCUUCCUGAUUUUCGAGAUUUCGAUGUUAUUCUUGCAAUGGACAAGCAAAACCGAGGUGUGUGAUUAUUAUUAUUAUAUAUGGGAGCCCAAGAAUUAUAACAUUGGUUUGGUUCAGUUGUCUUGAAAAUGGAUCAUCCCUUUAUGAUUUUUAUACAGAAAUCUUGAUGCAUGUUUGUGUCCAGCAUAGUUGAUUAACUUGUGGUGUUGAUAUUGGCUGUAGCUGAUAUUUUGGAGGCAUUUAAUCGAUGAAAAUUUAGAGAACCACUGUUAGUAUCAAAAGUGUUGGCAUUCCACUUAAACACAAAAACUCUACCCAAGCUUGGAGAUCAUAAUUUAUUUGUAUGGCAGCU